AGAGAAAGAGACAUGAGAUAAGGUGCAAUUGGCUAGAGUUGAUCCAUGUCCUCCAAACCAAGCUUCAAGAUAAAGUAAAGGAAAAAACAAUGUUUUUCCAUGAAAAAUUGUCUUCAUUUGUCAACCAUAAAUCAAACACACCUUAUAUAAAUGUGAAACAGAUGGAAAGUGCCUUAAGCUCAAUCUUUGAGGUACACUUUGCAGCACAUUGCUUUUUUCCUUUUCGUAAGGUAAGAUUCAACUCGACAACAAGAUAAAUACAGCUAGCCAUGUUUGUUUUUCAUCUUCAGCAUAUCUCUGAACAAACUGUUGAUAUAUAUAUAUAUAUAUAUAUAUAUAUAUAUAU
rnacentral:lncRNA from 1 species